AUUGAACGCUGGCGGCAGGCCUAACACAUGCAAGUCGAGCGAUCGGCGGACGGGUGAGUAAUGUCUGGGAAACUGCCUGAUGGAGGGGGAUAACUACUGGAAACGGUAGCUAAUACCGCAUACCCUCAGAUGUGCCCCGAUGGGAUUAGCUGGUAGGGGGGGUAACGGCUCACCUAGGCGACGAGCCCUGGCGGGUCUGAGAGGAUGACCAGCCACAUGGGAACGGAGAAACGGGCCAGACUCUUACGGGAGGAAGCAGUGGGGAAUAUUGCACAAUGGGCGCAAGCCGGCUGCAGCCAUGCGGCGUGUGUGAAGAAGGCCUUCGGGUGGUAAAGCACUUUCAGCGGGGAGGCGUUACCCGCAGAAGAAGCACCGGCUAACUCCGUGCCAGCAGCCGCGGUAAUAC
rnacentral:rRNA from 1 species